GGGUAUGACAUACUAUCCACUUUAAAAGAAGUUUCGUCACGAAAUUUGUACCACAGAAAAUAAUUCUGGGUAUUUUUCCUUCAUGCUAAACUCGAGUUCUCACGUCACCUCUUCUUGGUCAUGGUGCUUCCAAAUAACUAUUACUAAAGGUAUCGACUUAUUCCUUAGUACUUUAACUUUCCGAUCUAGAAUAGAUUCGGGUCUCUCCUCAUAUCAAUUGGAUUCCUAAUUCCAAUUUAUAUACAUGAGAUUUACUUGAGAAUAAGUUCCCUCGUCCUUUUUCGGCAGUUCAUUUUGCUCCUACCUCAUUCCUAGGGCUCAUCUACGGGGUAUUCUUUUUUCCAAAGACUAAAAUAGUCAUCAACCCAUUUCUUGUUACCUAUCACAUGAAUAACACUUUCCUAUGAAUUUAUCUUAAAACUAUCAUAGACCAAUUAACUUAAGUCCUCGUACUUGAACACUAUAUUACGGUCUUAGCUUGGACUCUGAAUUUCUAUCAUAAUGAGUGGUCGAUAUCAUUUAUAGGACAAAAACUAAUCUCAACCAAUCACAAUGAGACACAAUUAUAUGAAGUCAUAGUUUGGGUAGUAUACUACAUCGGUAGACUAACACUUCUUGGUCUUAUCAAACAAGAGAAUCUAUUAUGACAACUCACGAGUUGCAAGGCUCAAACUCAACACAACAUCAAAGCAAGGUGUUGUAGAAAUUGUUCAAGAGAAUCAAAAGAAUGACCAGAGGNNNNNNNNNNNNNNNNNNNNNNNNNNNNNNNNNNNNNNNNNNNNNNNNNNNNUGUUACCUAUCACAUGAAUAACACUUUCCUAUGAAUUUAUCUUAAAACUAUCAUAGACCAAUUAACUUAAGUCCUCGUACUUGAACACUAUAUUACGGUCUUAGCUUGGACUCUGAAUUUCUAUCAUAAUGAGUGGUCGAUAUCAUUUAUAGGACAAAAACUAAUCUCAACCAAUCACAAUGAGACACAAUUAUAUGAAGUCAUAGUUUGGGUAGUAUACUACAUCGGUAGACUAACAUUUCUUGGUCUUAUCAAACAAGAGGAUCUAUUAUGACAACUCACGAGUUGCAAGGCUCAAACUCAACACAACAUCAAAGCAAG
rnacentral:lncRNA from 1 species